rnacentral:rRNA from 1 species
UACAGAGGGUGCAAGCGUUGUUCGGAAUUACUGGGCGUAAAGCGCAUGUAGGCGGUCUAGUUAGUCAGAUGUGAAAUCCCUGGGCUUAACCCAGGAACCGCAUCUGAUACUGCUAGACUUGAGUGUCGGAGGGGAUGGCGGAAUUCCCGGUGUAGAGGUGAAUUCGUAGAUAUCGGGAGGAACACCUGUGGCGAAGGCGGCCAUCUGGAAGACAACUGACGCUGAGAUGCGAAAGCGUGGGAGCAACAG